rnacentral:rRNA from 1 species
CACGUAGGGCGCAAGCGUUGUCCGGAAUUAUUGGGCGUAAAGGGCUCGUAGGCGGUCUGUUGCGUCGGUAGUGAAAACUCAGGGCUUAACCCUGAGCCUGCUUCCGAUACGGGCAGACUAGAGGUAUGCAGGGGAGAACGGAAUUCCUGGUGUAGCGGUGAAAUGCGCAGAUAUCAGGAGGAACACCGGUGGCGAAGGCGGUUCUCUGGGCAUUACCUGACGCUGAGGCGCGAAAGCGUGGGGAGCAAACAGG